ensembl:lncRNA
GUAGACUCCUUUGUGACUACAAGACAAACGUUAAAGGCAUCUGUAAGAGUAAACAAAACAAUUCCAAGCCAACAUGUCCAGGUUGAAAAAGGGGAUAUUUACUGGCUGCGAGCAAACACACACACACACACUGACACACACAUCUCUCUCCCAGUGAAAAAUAAAAGUCGUUCUGUAAGUCUUUUGUUCCUUCAGACUAGCACACACAUUUAUAGUCAUGGCUGAGAGGAGACGGCACCAGUGGCCCCUCUUCACACUGUGAGAGAAGGAGACAUGGAAGGAAAGCUGGGAUCGUCACAGUGCUAUUGCCUCUUGAAGUCAAAUUGUGUCGUCCUCUUCAGAGCCGUGUGACGCAGAGUUUAUUAUGGAGGACUUGAAGCCCGAGGGCUGGCGGCAGCUACUUCAGCCCCAUGGUGCAGCUGGCAAAAACAGCACAAGUCUCCUUCGCAGGUCCUCAUCAUGGAGGAGGCCUGGGGAGCGGGGUUAUUACGAGGGCCCCGCGGCGCAGGUGAAUGAGCCCCCUCGCAGAGCUCGUCCACUGAGCUGCAUAGAGGGUGGCAGGAUGGACAAAUGGCUUCAGACACUAGAGAGACUCCAAUCACGUCGGCUUCAGAAUCAAAUACCUCCGUUUGUGGACAGGACGAUAUCAAUGCCAGUUCCCUCGAAUGAGACAGCGGGAAGUAACCCACUGUGUCCUGAUGUUUCCUCUCUGCGCAGGAGGAAUCAGACCCCUAGCGUCUGUCCCAGAGUGAGUGAAAGCUCCUCGAGCAGUCUGGAGUCUGUUCACAUUAAAGCUGCUCCCGCUGCAGAAAGAGCUCAGUUCUGCGCUCUCGCUCCAGUUCACUUCGGCUGGCUGCCCAUACAAAGACAUGUGAUACUGACAGACAUCUGUCAUAACCACCAUGACAACAGUAGGUGCCAGCAGAAACUGAAGUCUCCCAUCACUCCAGUGUUGCUCAGCACUCCUGCCAAACUUAAUGGACCAAGACCAAAUGACAGGGAGACUUCGAGGCCUGAACCUGUAGGCUUUAGAUACUGGAAAACACCUGAAAAAACACCAUCCGUCCUCCAUCAGGAGGCUUUAGUGAUCAGACGGCCCGAUUUCAUCCAGCGCUCACAGGCCAGGGUUCGAGCGCUCGAGAGGAGGUCGCAGGAGAGGCAGAACUCCCACAGCUCACCGCAGACAGUCGAGAGCGGAGGAAGCCUUGUGAAAUCCAAAGACAGAAGCAUCAUGGGAAAGAGUCUACAGCUGCGGUCCAGGAGGAGUUAUAACCAGCUGCCUGAGGUGAAGAAGAGGAGAGAGGAAGAAAAGAGGAGAAUAGAAGAGGAGAAAAGAAAACUGGCAUCUCGGACCAACAGGCUGCGGGCAGAGCUCUUUAAAAAGAAACUUCUGGAGCAGAUUUUGCAGAGGGGAGGAAAUCACUGACAUCGCCUUGGACUCGUGUUUCUCCUCACUCCACAGUUCUCAUGCCGGCCCUUGAAAAAUAUGACAUGACAUUAGUUAGAAAUGUUAUGGAAUAGUUCCUUCCAGAACGAAUGUGCCUCAAACAUGGACUGCAGCCUCAUUUCUGUGGCUCUGGAUUACAUCUUCUCUCUCUUUACAUACAUUACUGGUUAAACAUUUUGAAUAAUUAUGGUUUUAAUGUUACAGCUAGGCUUAUGUUCAGCUAUGCUGCAUUUAUUUGCUCAAAAAUACAGUAAAAACUGUAACAAAUUUGAAAUAUUAUCACAAUUUAAAACAACUGUUUCCAAUUUGAAUAUAUUUUAACAUGUAAUUUAUUCCUGUGAUGCGCAGCUGUGUUUUCAGCAUCAUUACUCCAGUCUUCAGUGUCACAUGAUCUUCAGAAAUCAUUCUAAUAUUCUGAUUUGCUGCUCAAGAAAAAUGUAUGAUUAUUAUCCAUGUUGAAAACAGUGUUUGCUGCUUCAUAUUUUAUAGAAACGUUGCAUUUUUCAGUCCUACAGAUUCUCAACAGUAUCACAUGGCAAACACAGGACAUCAGGAGAGUCUUUUGGCUUCUCAGAGAUGCUACAGUUGCCAUAUAGACAGAUUGUUUGCCCUUUCUGUGCCUCUAUCCCUGUCAUAUUAUAUUAUGUAAGAGACACAACAUAAAAGAGCACAUUACGGCUCCGGUCCUCAUCGCUAAAAGCCUAAAAUCCAACAUUUGAAGACAUUCUUAUAACAUGAAGGGCCUGAUCCCGCUCUCAUGCAGUCGUAGGUUCUGCGGGCUCAUUAUGACAUCACUAGCCUUCCUCUGUCCGUGUCUCUCCGAGCCAUUAGCCGGGAGCAAAAGGAAUUUGACCUCGUCUGAAUAAGAAUGCAUCACUAAUGGAGCCGAGUGCUUGCACGGGGUGAAAGAGGCUUUUGUCCUCUCUCUGAAUGAGCCGAGACUGUCCCACAUGUGCCUGCUUAGACGGGACACGACUGCGCAAUAGUCGAGUUAUAAACUGAAGCCUUGCAGUAAAACUUGACUUGAUAGACUUUAUAUUAUGUCCUAUCACUUUGUUUGGUAUCUUAACUAUCACAUUUCAAAAUCAAAAGAUUGGGCCAGAAGAUGUGAAGUGGAGUAAUGUAGCUUCCUUUGUGUGUAAAAAGAUGCAUUUUAGACCAGACAUUACACAAGUACAGAAAUGUAAGUGCAAAUGCUCAGCCUUUGGACAAAUUAUCCCUGUAAGUCCCUAUAAGGAAAGUCAUUUCACUCAGUGGCCGUCUUUGUAACACUAUUUCUGACAUGCAAGUAACAGCUUUUAUUUCUUUGAAUGGGGAAACAUCAAAUUCGUCUAAGCAAUGCAGCAAUAAAAUUGUCUGUUUAUGUCAUAUUUGCAUUUACAGGUUACUCAAGGGUGCGCUAGAAUUUUAGAAGAUGUUAUUCAGUGAAUGGACGGCACAGGUGAAAGCGUGCAGUGAAGUUUAUUGGACAUGUAUAUGGUGAACACUGACCCUUCUUUAUCACAGGAGCUCGUCUGGAGUCUGUUUCACACCUGAAGACAGCUGGUACAUUGACCCCGGGAUGGGACGGGACAAUCCCAGAACCUCUGAAUUACGUCAACAAAGAACUCGGGGCCCAUGAGGGCCAUUCUAGCAAAUGGGUCCUUUUGUGUUCCUCAUUAACAUAUGAAGUGCCCCAUGAACAAUUCAUGAAAAUAAUCCUAGUGGACAGUGAAAUACAUGAACUAUGGGACGAUCUUUGAGACGAAGACGUGUUUCAAAUGGAUUUCUGCUGUCUCUUAAAGUUGGAUCCAUUCCUGUCUGCUCUUUUGAAAUCGGGGCAAUGCAAGAACAGAAUGAUGAAAUCACAGUAUUCUGCUCUUUCGAAAUGAGGUUGCAUUCAUGUGGCUACAAACCGAACGCUGUUGAUGUUGUUAUUGUGCUCGGAUCUCUCCUGCGUGUGGAGUCUGAGCUUCCUUUCGUGUUCUUUAUUUGUUUCGGCUUUUAAAUAAUGCACAGGUUCAUCAUGGAUGUGUGGUGAUUUCACACCUGCAUUAUUGCUCUUGUGCUGCAGUAAAUCUCAGUGCACUAGUAUUGCCCCAGCAUGCAACUCUAACUGUGGUUUAAACAGAGCAGACCAUCUGCAUUAUUAAUUUACUUCUUUACUGAUAUCAUGAGAGGUCACAAGAGGUCAACCACAAAAUUUAAAUUAAGUAACCACAAAACAGUCUUUGAAAUCAUUUGGCUCAAUGCAUUUCUGAUAUCUAACAAUUGAUAUAUUUUCUGAUAUUCUAAUCAUGGGUUUAGACAGCAUAAUGACCAUUUCAAUUAAUUAUCAGCUUUUAAUGAAAAUGAUUACCACUGGAUCGAACUGAUCAAUAUGUGGUUUGUUGGCCUUUCAACUCACUCUUUAAAAGUCUUUUCCAUAGAAGAUAAUAAUGUUUACCAGAGUCAUAAAUCUCACCACAUACUUUUAUGCCAAAUAAUGCAUAUUAUAAUAGAAAUGUUAUGGAACACAAAUUCAUAUUCUGUCUAAAUGUAUGCUACUUAAAGUAAUGAAUGAAUGAUUGAAUUUAUUUUAUAAAUUAAAAUACAUUUUAUAUUUAUUUAUUUCAUUUAUUUAUUUACUUAAACAUUCCGAGUUUUUAAAAAAGCUUUUCUUCUCAG